CCCACGGUAGCUCAGUGGUAGAGCGCGAGUGGCAUGUAGCGAGAGUGACGUUACGAUUUGCGCUUGAGGACGUCGGUUCGAUGCCGACCCGGAAGA